GGGUGUUAGGGCACGACACCGGAGAGGGAGCCUGAGAAACGGCUACCACAUCCAAGGAUGGCAGCAGGCGCGCAAAUUACCCAAUCCCGACACGGGGAGGUAGUGACAAUAAAUAACAAUACGGGGUUCUUUAGGAUCUCGUAAUUGGAAUGAGUACAAUUUAAAUCUCUUAACGAGGAACAAUUGGAGGGCAAGUCUGGUGCCAGCAGCCGCGGUAAUUCCAGCUCCAAUAGCGUAUAUUAAAGUUGUUGCAGUUAAAAAGCUCGUAGUUGAAUUUCGGGGUUAGUAGGUUGGUCAUGCCUCUGGUAUGUACUGGUCUCACUGAUUCCUCCUUCCUGAUGAGCCGUAAUGCCAUUAAUUUGGUGUUGCGGGGAAUUUGGACUGUUACUUUGAAAAAAUUAGAGUGUUUAAAGCAAGCUAACGCUUGAAUACAUUAGCAUGGAAUAAUGAAAUAGGACGUUCGAUCCUAUUUUGUUGGUUUCUAGGAUUGACGUAAUGAUUAAUAGGGAUAGUUGGGGGCAUUAGUAUUCAAUUGUCAGAGGUGAAAUUCUUGGAUUUAUUGAAGACUAACUACUGCGAAAGCAUUUGCCAAGGAUGUUUUCAUUAAUCAAGAACGAAAGUUAGGGGAUCGAAGACGAUCAGAUAUCGUCGUAGUCUUAACCAUAAACUAUGCCGACUAGGGAUCGGAUGAUGUUAAUUUUUUAAUGACUCAUUCGGCGCCUACGGGAACA
rnacentral:rRNA from 1 species